rnacentral:tRNA from 1 species
UGGAAGGUUGCCCGAGAGGUUUAAGAGACUCGACUGCUAAUCGAGUGGGGCUUUUAGCCCCCGAAGGUUCGAAUCCUUCACCUUCCGCCAA